AGCCAAUCCCUAAAUUCCCUCGGUGCUUCCUCCUCUGUCUCAGCCCCUUACCGCCCUCGGCGGCCAAUGGACGUACCUUUUUUGAGUCCUCCCGCUCCGCUCCAUAGUUCCACUCUCCCUGGACGGGGGAGAAGGGGCGGGUCUAUUAUGUCAGUGUAGGUGGGAAGGCGAACUUGCCAGAGUAGAGAGCAAAACCAGGAAUAGGAGAUAGAAGCUUCUGGAUUGAUUUAAGGGGAAACUUUCCACAAAUGAAUCACCAUCACACAUUACUACAGCUGUUUUAAGAUGAGGAAACUGAGGUUGAGAAAAAGCCAGGACCAGCACUGACCCACACUCCGAAGCUAGCGUUCUCUCCAUUAAUCUCAGCCAUGGAACAAAUGGAGAAGAAUCCCCUUAAUUGGGCCAAGCAUGUCCUGGAGGAGAAGCGAUUGCCUCCAAAGCGUGUGAAGCUGCUGAAGAUUUGCGCAUGCCUGGUUGGCUGCUGGGGCUGGAGGGCAAGCUCCCCAGGAGAAGGGGGCUCCAGCAGAAAUCGAAAUAGACUUCUUGGAACCGAGGGAGCAGAGCCCAAAGAGCAAUGGAGAGGCACACAAAGGCAGAAGAGGAAUGACAAAGGAAUUUUGUAAUUCUUCAGUCACAAGUCAAAUCCACAAACAUUUAUUAAGAGCCAGCCAGGCUGGGGGGGGGGGGGGGAUACAAAUGCAAGAAAAAAGAAAAUCUCUUGGCCUCAAGGAACUCACUUUCAAUUGUAGGAAAAUCUCCUUAAACAGAGCUGGAGGGGGAAGGAGAAUGGAGAUUCUGAGCACUUUGCCAUGGCCAAAAGGGGCCCCGGUGCCCGAGGUCCCCAAGGGUAUCUGAUCUGUCCCGGAUAAAAAAGUUAUUUCAAAUCUCACAACAAGCAAGCAGAGGGGGAAAUGGAUUUUUUUUUUUUUUUUUGCUAAGACUACUUGAGUCCCUUCGUGUAAUUCCCAACCUUAGCUAGUUUAUACCCUGCCUCCUGAAAGUGCUUUGAAGUUAAAUGGCCCAUUACUGAGAAUUGAGUUUUGUUUGGGGCCUAAUGGUCCUCCAAACCCCAGCUUUUCUUUCUACUUGGGUGGAGAUGAGGCAGGAGUGGAAAGGGCUCAUUUUUAUAGCUCCUGUUCACUAAAGAAGUGACUCAUGAUUCCUUUUGUGUGCUAAGUCCUUCAGAGAAGGGAACCCACAAAAUCUGGAGGGAGCCCCUUCCCUUACUGGGGGGGGGCUUAUUCUUGUACUGAGCCUAAACCUCCCUCUCUCAAGCUUCCACUCAUUCGUGCAAGUUUUGGCCUCUGGGGCCAAGCAGAACCAGCCUAAUGUCCAUUCAGUGUACAACAGCCCUUCUAACCCUCAGAAACUACCAUCAUGGGCUCCCUAGUGUCCCCAGACCCCAGGCAUCUCCAGUUCUUCCAACCAGUCCUCUCAUAUAUGCUCUCAAGAGCCUCAGAAUCCUGGCCCCAGGCCUCUGGAAGCCAUCAGGUUCAUGGAUGUCCUUUGUGAAGUGAGGCACUCCCACAGUAUUUCAGAUGUUCUCCAUUUAGAUCAGAAGACGGCUGAACUAAAAAGAGCUAACUCUGCAACCCAAGCUUGACCAAUUGUGUCCAUUGUGAGGGCCUGGCUCUUUUGGACUUAAUUGAAGUGGAUAUGCAUGUAUCAUGGGAAAGAGCCUCAUCACCCCAUCUCCUCACAGAUCCUUUGCUGUGUUUCCAAGUGGAGUCCCUGAUCUAUAGAUAUUUAUACUUUUAAUAUAUAUUAUAUUUAUGAUUUUAAAAGGGUCCAGUGAACAACCAGGAGUAUAAAUUGGAUGAAAGUGAUUUUCUAACUGAAAGUCAGAUAGAUGACAGGGAUUAGGAAUCCCAAACUCCACAAAAGAAAACCCAACUCAAAAGACAGGCUUUAAAAUGCCUACUGGCUUCCUAGCUAGCUGGUCAAGUGGAGUGACAAAAGGAAGUUCUCUCUGCAAAGAGCCAAAGAUAGUCCCUGAGGUUAUUACAGUAAAGAGAAGGCAAAGGUCUCUCCUGGAGGCCACAGAAGAGCCAAAGAGCAGAAAGGUAGCCAGAGAACAGGGGAGAGGAGGAGAAAGCACUUCACCCAGUACAUCAUCCAGGCAUCUGGGCAGAGGACACCCAGCUGCCAAGUUCCGUUGAGUCUAUGUUGGUAACAUCUCCGGUGCUCGCUCCUUUCCUCCUUGGAUGCUGCCACCUCCCUGGUGUGGGUCCUUGUCUCCUCAGACCUGGACUCUUGCCUACAGGGGGCUCUGCCUGCCUCAAGACCCUCCCCACACCAGUCCAGCCUCCAUUCCCCAGGCUUCUUGAAGCCCAAGUCUGACCAUGUCCUAUUCAGAAAACUCCAGUGACUCCUCUUACCACCAGGAUCAAGUCUAGAACAGUUGGCUUGGUUUUUAAAGUCUUUCCUAAUUGGGUCCCUUCAUAGCUUUCCCACCUCGUACCUUUCUUCCUUUUUGAUUCUGUGAUCCAAGGAUCCAUCUGGGGACAUGGUCAAGGAAUAGGAGUUUUCUCUGGCUGUCCACCAUGUCUGGAAUCUGAUUUCGCCCCAUCUCUACCUCCCGGCUUCCUUGAAAUCUUAGCCAAAAAUGUCCUCUUUGCAAGAAGCCCUUCCUGACCUCCUCCUGUCCCAGAUUACCUUCAGUUUCUCUCGUCUCCCCCAUCAGGCUUCUCUUUUGCUUUUUUUUGUAUCCCGGGUGCCUGGCACAGAGAAGGAGCUUAAUAAAUGUUUGUUGGUUUGA